UGUUGUCCUCGGGGGCAUAGCCACUUCAACUGCCCAUUGUGCUGCAGAUCGGCAUGUUUACUAUGAGGUAGAAGACGAUGCUCAACGAAUCCCAAAGCGACAACAGCGCCACCGCUGCGCGGGAUAUGGGGGCCACAUCUCGCCCCUGCAAUCCCGCUCGCUUACCCAACUGUCAGUAUCUAAAAAUGUUGGCCAUAGGCCACCAGUUCGGUUGUCUGUGACACUUUCCUUUUCUUUCUUUCGGUCUCUUUAUUUCCCAAAAUAAAACGAAAACA